AAACCGUUCAGGGGUAAACCUGAGAAACCCAAAAGAUCGAAUGGGGAGACUCAGCGUCAGCCGCUUGUUGGCUUGCGUGCGGCUCGCGAUGCUCUCGGGUGGCCUUUCACGAGGUUUUUCACGAGGGCACGCGGUCGCUGCGUCAUGUCCGGCGCGGUCGGCGUGCACUUCUCCCCUAGUAGGACGUCGCGACCCGUUGGGUGUCGACCGACGGCCCGCGAGGUAGCCUGGGGCGCAGCGCGUUAAUAGCGCGCUCGCGUCUCAGACCCGCGUGUGCCCGGCUCGACUGCCCGGCGGUAGAGAUCGCUUAUGAUAAUGGUAUGGGGUCGCACGCUCAUGUAAAUCUGCGAUGCGUUUCGGCCCGUCGACAGACUGGCCUCGCUCGGCGUUUACGGACCUGGUGCCGUUGCCGAGCGCUUGGUCGGUCCAAUUCGACGGUGUCCUCGAACGGGCCCUGCUUUAAAACAUACCCGUCGGCGACGCUACUGCUUUGGGUACUUUCAGGACCCGUCUUGAAACACGGACCAAGGAGUCUAACAUGUGCGCGAGUCAUUGGGACUUGAAACAAAGCCUAAAGGCGCAAUGAAAGUGAAGGUCCGCUUUGAUGCGCGACCGAGGGAGGAUGGCUCCCGCCACGACGCGGAGCCCGCACUCCCGGGGCGUCUCGUGCUCAUUGCGAGCUGAGGCGCACCCAGAGCGUACACGUUGGGACCCGAAAGAUGGUGAACUAUGCCUGGUCAGGACGAAGUCAGGGGAAACCCUGAUGGAGGUCCGUAGCGAUUCUGACGUGCAAAUCGAUCGUCGGAACUGGGUAUAGGGGCGAAAGACUAAUCGAACCAUC
rnacentral:rRNA from 1 species